UUGGAGGGCCAAGUCUGGUGCCAGCAGCCGCGGUAAUUCCAGCUCCAAUAGCGUAUAUUAAAGUUGUUGCGGUUAAAAAGCUCGUAGUCUGAGUUCUGUUGGGGACUGGUCGGGGAGGUCACCGCCCGGUGCCUGCCCGUCAGGUCCCGAACAGCCGUACCCGCCGCGAGCGGGGGCCAAGCCGGUUCUGCCGGGGUGCUCUUGACCGAGUGUCCCGCGCGGCCGGCCGGUUCACCUUGAACAAAUGAGAGUGCUCAAAGCAGGCUACUCUUGACACUAAAGCCCGAAUGUUAACUGCAUGGAAUGAUGGAAGAUGAUCUCGGUUCCAUUUUGCUGGGUGGUGGGAAUCCGAGUUAAUGAUAAACAGGGACUGUCGGGGGCAUCCGUACUACGACGCGAGAGGUGAAAUUCAGUGACCGUCGUAGGACGAACAACAGCGAAAGCAUUUGCCAAGAAUGUCUUCGUUGAUCAAGAACGAAAGUUAGAGGAUCGAAGGCGAUCAGAUACCGCCCUAGUUCUAACCCUAAACGAUGCUGACCAGCUAUUCGCCGUCGUUAUUCCCAUGACGUGGCGAGACGCCCCCGGGAAACCUCGAGUCUUUGAGUUCCGGGGGUAGUAUGGUUGCAAAACUGAAACUUAAAGGAAUUGACGGAAGGGCACCACCAGGAGUGGAGCCUGCGGCUUAAUUUGACUCAACACGGGAAACCUCACCAGGCCCGGACACCAGAAGGAUUGACAGAUUAAGAGCUCUUUCUCAAUUUGGUGGGUGGUGGUGCAUGGCCGUUCUUAGUUGGUGGAGUGAUUUGUCUGGUUAAUUCCGGUAACGAACGAGACUCUGGCCUACUAACUAGUGGGCGGGUGUUCCGGUAAGGGGCCCCGCCCGACAAUGUCUUCUUAGAGGGAUGAGCAGCGAGUAUAGCUGCAGGAGAUUGAGCAAUAACAGGUCUGUGAUGCCCUUAGAA
rnacentral:rRNA from 1 species